rnacentral:tRNA from 2 species
GCGGCUAUCGUAUAAUGGCUAUUACCUCACCUUUCCAGGCUGAUGAAGCGGGUUCGAUUCCCGCUGACCGCUCCA